UUAUCAAAGGUCCGUCGGUAGAAUAUUAUUGUCUUUCAUUCCGGUGAUAAGCACAACUGUUGCACACUCGCACUGCUUAAUGAUAACGCCACCUAUCAUAAUCUGAUCGAUACGAGAUAGUUUUUUGUUAAUUGCUAUUGCUAUUUACAUACUAAUCCUACUAGUCACUAUAAUAGACUAUUGUAAACAUUUUACGUCGACUCAAGAAUUUCGCAUCGUUUGGCUUUGCGGGAAGCGAGUCAGAGCAAGUAACAGACAGCUUUUCAACUGACAGCAACGGCAAUGACGUUCAUACCCUCUCUGCAAUGUACUUUAACCAUCAACAGACCAUUUUAUCAUCGACGGUUAAGCGAAGCUAGUUAUCAACAUGAUCUGUUUCAGAAUCUAAAAUUCAGACCAACUAGUAAGGAUAUGAAAAAUAUGCUGACUAUGUGGAUGAAAAGCAACAGUAUCAACAGAUGCGGUAAUGGUCUUCAGGUUUUUUUUAACUGUGGCAUAGAACAAGAUACAGGAUAUUUGAAAAUUGCUAUGGUAUAGUUCAAUUUUAAUUUUGUCUGUUAAACAAUUAAAAAAUAUCAUGUCCAGUUGUUGCCUCAAGGUUUUCAUUUGGAAAAAUGCUGCAAUUUCUAUAAAAUCCUAAUGAAAUUUCUCCAACUGAAGAAUGAAUUGAAGUACUUAGCUACAAAAUUGUUCCAAAACCUUCACUUCAAAUGGAAAUUAUUGAUUUUCAAGAAUAUGUAUCAUAGAAAGGAAGAAAGCUAAAGAACAUUUGAGAAAACAAUUGGAAAAACUGACAGAUUUAUUAAAUAUGUUUUAUACAUAGCAAAAAAUUCCCUAAUAUUGAUUGAGGAAAGAGCGAUUUUUGAUAAAUUAUCACAGUUUUAAAAUCAAAGGAAGAUGGGUUUUAUCAACUUCAUCCAGUGACGAUGUAUCCUCAAAGUUAUGAUGUACCGCAAUAGCAUCUGCAUCAAUCACAGUGUGAGCAGCUACAGCAGCAGUAUGUGCAUGAACUAAUGCCACCAUAAUCAUUGAUGGAGCAGCAGCCACUGAUGCUCUUGUAAAAGUAUUGACUUUCAAUUUUGGUGAGCCAGGUGAUAGUCCAAAUUCAAGGCACGUAAAGACUACUUACUUUGUUCACCAAGAUAUGCAUGGUGUCGCCUAGUUGCAGUGGCGUCAAAAUAGUAUUAAAAUAGUCGUUCAAACAUUACCUCCAAAAAAAUGUACAAAUGAAAUCCACCCCCUGCCCUAUACCCCUUUUAAUAUUCUUCUAUUCACAACAACACCCAUUUUUAUAUAUUUCUUUACAAAUUAUUUAAAUAUAAACUAUAAAAAUUAAUAAUAUACAUAAGGAUGUUGCACUAU